UACGAAGGGGACUAGCGUUGUUCGGAAUUACUGGGCGUAAAGCGCACGUAGGCGGAUUUGUAAGUCAGGGGUGAAAUCCCGGGGCUCAACCUCGGAACUGCCUUUGAUACUGCAAAUCUCGAGUCCGAUAGAGGUGGGUGGAAUUCCUAGUGUAGAGGUGAAAUUCGUAGAUAUUAGGAAGAACACUGGUGGCGAAGGCGGCCCACUGGAUCGGUACUGACGCUGAGGUGCGAAAGCGUGGGGAGCAAACAGG
rnacentral:rRNA from 1 species